rnacentral:misc_RNA from 1 species
UUUUGAUUAAAAAGUUUUUAUAUUAUUAAAUAUGUAUCUUAAACCCAAUACAGCGGCAAUUGAGUAUUUUUAAAAUUGAGAUUAUGUUGUAAUAUAUUAUAAAUAUGCUUUAACAUAUAAAUCGACCUAAUGUUUUUUUAUUCUUAUUAAUUAUGACUUAGAACAAUUUAACAAAUUGGGACCAGGAUGAGUUGAACAUCCGACCUCAGGUUUAUCAGACAGGGACCCCGAUGUGGGAUCAGGAUUCUUAUU